rnacentral:rRNA from 1 species
UUUUACGGAGAGUUUGAUCCUGGCUCAGGAUGAACGCUGGCGGCGUGCUUAACACAUGCAAGUCGAACGGUGAAGCCAAGCUUGCUUGGUGGAUCAGUGGCGAACGGGUGAGUAACACGUGAGCAACCUGCCCUGGACUCUGGGAUAAGCGCUGGAAACGGCGUCUAAUACUGGAUAUGAGCCUCUUCCGCAUGGUGGGGGUUGGAAAGAUUUUUUGGUCUGGGAUGGGCUCGCGGCCUAUCAGCUUGUUGGUGAGGUAAUGGCUCACCAAGGCGUCGACGGGUAGCCGGCCUGAGAGGGUGACCGGCCACACUGGGACUGAGACACGGCCCAGACUCCUACGGGAGGCAGCAGUGGGGAAUAUUGCACAAUGGGCG